UAAUGAAAACACAUUGGAGCAGAAAGAAAUAGCUGUCGUCAAAUUGCUGGACUGUGGCUAAUUGCUGCAAGGAAGCAGGUGGCCAGGCAGUUGCUGAGGGAGAACAAAGGUGUGGCCUGGGUGGUGACAGCUACUGAGGUUCUCGGCCCGAUACUGAUCACCCAGAGGAACAAUCCCAAAGUGGCAUUUAGCCAAACGGGUGAUAGAACAGGGAUGCCGGGAGGGACCAGGCCUGGAAGAAACGAGGAGCGUCCAAGGGCGAAGCGCCGCUCAGCCGUCACAGGGCUGCCGCGCGACAAGCAUUUGGGGAAAGGUAGGACCGGGUCCCCGCCACCUGCCGGUCAGCAGCCCUACCCACAGUCAGGCCGCGGCCGCCCUGGCCUGGUCCCAAAAUAUGUGAGCGCCGCCC
rnacentral:lncRNA from 1 species